GAGGGGGGUGCGAGCGUUAUUCGGAAUCAUUGGGCGUAAAGGGCGUGUAGACGGGCGUACUAAGUCAACUGUCAAAUUCCUCGGGCUUAACCGAGGGCCGGCGGUAGAUACUGGUGUGCUAGAGGGUGGAAGAGAGAAGUGGAAUUCUCGGAGUAGCGGUAAAAUGCGUGGAUCUCGAGAGGAACACCGAUUGCGAAGGCAGCUUCUUGGUCCACUCCUGACGUUGAGGCGCGAAAGCGUGGGGAGCAAACAGGAUUAGAUACCCUGGUAGUCCACGCUGUAAACGAUGAUCACUAGACGUUAGCCCUGUUUUACAGGGUUGGUGUCGAAGCUAACGCGUUAAGUGAUCCGCCUGGGGACUACGGUCGCAAGACUA
rnacentral:rRNA from 1 species